AGUGAACGCUGGCGGUAGGCCUAACACAUGCAAGUCGAACGGCAGCACAGUAAGAGCUUGCUCUUACGGGUGGCGAGUGGCGGACGGGUGAGGAAUACAUCGGAAUCUACUUUUUCGUGGGGGAUAACGUAGGGAAACUUACGCUAAUACCGCAUACGACCUACGGGUGAAAGCAGGGGAUCUUCGGACCUUGCGCGAUUGAAUGAGCCGAUGUCGGAUUAGCUAGUUGGCGGGGUAAAGGCCCACCAAGGCGACGAUCCGUAGCUGGUCUGAGAGGAUGAUCAGCCACAAUGGAACUGAGACACGGUCCAGACUCCUAAGGGAGGCAGCAGUGGGGAAUAUUGGGCAAUGGGCGGCAGCCUGAUCCAACCAUGCCGCGUGGGUGAAGGAGGCCUUCGGGUUGUAAAACCCUUUUGUUGGGAAAGAAAAGCAGCAGGUUAAUACCCCGCUGUUCUGACGGUACCCAAAGAAUAAGCACCGGCUAACUUCGUG
rnacentral:rRNA from 1 species